rnacentral:rRNA from 1 species
UACGUAGGGUGCGAGCGUUUGUCCGGGAAUUAUUGGGCGUAAAGAGCUUGUAGGGCUGGUUUGUCGCGUCUGCCCGUGAAAAUCCGGGGCUCAACCCCGGACUUGCGGUGGGUACGGGCAGACUAGAGUGUGGUAGGGGAGACUGGAAUUCCUGGUGUAGCGGUGAAAUGCGCAGAUAUCAGGAAGAACACCCGUGGCUAAGGCGGUUCUCUAGUACGGUACUGACGCUGAGACGCGAAAGCGUGGGGAGCGAACAGG